rnacentral:tRNA from 1 species
UGGGUAGGGGAGAAACUCCGUAAAUAAGUUUACAGCUUACCGCCUUCACUCGGCCACCUAACC